UUGGAGGGCAAGUCUGGUGCCAGCAGCCGCGGUAAUUCCAGCUCCAAUAGCGUAUAUUAAAGUUGUUGCAGUUAAAAAGCUCGUAGUUGAAUUUCGGGGUUAGUAGGUUGGUCAUGCCUCUGGUAUGUACUGGUCUCACUGGUUCCUCCUUCCUGAUGAACCUUAAUGCCAUUAAUUUGGUGUUUUGGGGAAUUUGGACUGUUACUUUGAAAAAAUUAGAGUGUUUAAAGCAAGCUAACGCUUGAGUACAUUAGCAUGGAAUAAUGAAAUAGGACGUUCGAUCCUAUUUUGUUGGUUUCUAGGAUUGACGUAAUGAUUAAUAGGGAUAGUUGGGGGCAUUAGUAUUCAAUUGUCAGAGGUGAAAUUCUUGGAUUUAUUGAAGACUAACUACUGCGAAAGCAUUUGCCAAGGAUGUUUUCAUUAAUCAAGAACGAAAGUUAGGGGAUCGAAGACGAUCAGAUACCGUCGUAGUCUUAACUAUAAACUAUGCCGACUAGGGAUCGGAUGAUGUUAAUUUUUUAAUGACUCAUUCGGCGCCUUACGGGAAACCAAAGUGUUUGGGUUC
rnacentral:rRNA from 1 species